UGUCUUUCGGAGUUCAUAUGUGCUGUUGUGGUUUAGAAUAUAUCCAAUACGUCUAUUACGAUGAGCAUUGCCCGUCGGACUUUGGUUGCAUCUGCUGUUGCAAAUGGGAAUAUCUCUCACCUGCUCGGGGGGCAAUUGCUUACGGAGAUGAUGCUUUGGGCAAAACCAAUUACCAGGAUAAAGAUCUGUGUGCUAGGCUCUUGAUAUAGUUUUGCUAAUGCGGCCUUAAGCUGUUGAAAUUGGAUUACUCACAAACAAGGUUCUUCAAUAAUAGGCUCACAGUUGUUAACUCCAGUUACUGCUCCCAAUAGCUGUUUUUCGGUUGUUUGGGCUAGACGCAGCAUUUCCUGAUUGGCGACCGCUCUGGGGGUUCGAUAGUCUGUUCUGCUUACAAUACUUUUCUCGUCAGGUCCAGGCAGCGCAAGCCUUGCACUGUAUUUCAAAUAUUGUCAAAAUAAUUUUGGACUUACUGGAAAUGCAAGAUGAUGAAGUGUCAGAAGUCGGACACACUCCACACUUUUCAGCCCCAAUCCCCUUACGCUCAGCAGAUACUCUCUACAAGAAUUAAUUGUCCGAGCAAAUUGUGACGUGCUAAUGCUAAAGAAAGCAUCCUCCAUUCUAGCAGCGGGAGCAAAAUAAAGAUCAAAGCCGUGCUGCUGAGAAGAGGGUAGUUUAUCUACACAAGCAUACUCAGAUUAUCAGCCACUCAAAAAUCACGUUCAUAGUCUUCCUCAUUUCCGACAAAAGGAGAAUUUGGAAUGGAAAAUGAAUUUGUCGCAUUGUAUUUUCCUUGUGCCGCCACACAUGCUGAUGUUGCAGACGCUGCAUCUGCAAGAGCCAGAAGAUCCAUACAAGAAAAUUCAUUCAGUCUGACUACUCCAUCACCCAAACUCUCUCCUGGUGUUUCACUACCAAUGCAGGAUUCCGCAGGGGCAUUCUUGUCUUCUGGAGAUGACCAAUUACCACGGCGUGUGAAGCGUCUAGGCAGGACCAAAACACGUGACCAAACUAAAAAAACGAAUGAGCUUAUGUGGCGACACUUGGCACGGGUGAGCGUAUCAAAAGUCAAGAUUAGGGUUAGCCCUCAUCACUGCCCUCAUUUUUUACGCUUGUUUGUAUUUGCUUAUUGAAUGAGAUCACUGGAUUUGUGUUUUCUGAUGGUGUGGUGAUGGAAUGAAGAAUGAACUGAUUGGAAAAUCUUUACAGUUUGACUAUUAUAUCCCUAUGGCGGCAUCCGAUUUCCCAAUUGGAUGGUCUAAAUUCAUAGUAAUAGGGGUCGGUGAGGUGAGCCCUACACGGCCCCACCUCUCUCGUUCCCAAAUUUCCCUCUUUUAAAUUUUAAGAACGCGGGAAACAUAGUUGACAUGA